UACAGAGGUCCCAAGCGUUGUUCGGAUUCAUUGGGCGUAAAGCGCGCGUAGGCGGCUCGGCAAGUCGGUCGUGAAAUGCCGGGGCUCAACCCCGGGACUGCGUCCGAUACUCUCGAGCUGGAGGCAGGUAGGGGAGAUCGGAAUUCCUGGUGUAGCGGUGAAAUGCGCAGAUAUCAGGAGGAACACCGGUGGCGAAGGCGGAUCUCUGGGCCUUGCCUGACGCUGAGGCGCGAAAGCUAGGGGAGCGAACAGG
rnacentral:rRNA from 1 species